GGAGACGAUUUUGACUUGAAAUUUCUUUUGAGUCAGAGAAAGAAGCAACUAACCCAUUACCACCACCGCCCAGUAGGUUCUCUGACUUCAUAUCCAAGUAUUCAUAUUUUACAUAUUUGUAAAAUAAAAUUAUUGAUGGAAUUUUAACGGAAAAAUCUUAUUGAUGUGCAAUUUUAUUGAUAAAUUGGCUAAAAAGCCUUCAUCAAAUGGUUGGCAAACUGGCUUGCAAUUUGCAUGUGCAUCUUCUAGAUAGAUUCCAAUGAGCUCAACUGUCAAAUUUCCCUAAUAUGUUGGAUCCUGUAAUUUUGGUGGAGACCUGGAGAAUUUAAGAACAAAAGCUUAUAUUAAUGGAGAAAUUGGCUUAUAUUAAUGGAGAAAUUGGUUAAAAAGUAGGGCAUGAAUGGUAGUGGGUCCAGUUCUUUGGUGAUGAUUUAUGAAUAUAUCUACUUUUUAGCUUGCAAGUUUGGUGUUUAGCUACAAUUUAAUUGAGAUUUAGGUAUUAGUAUUACCUGCUCCUCUAGUAAUCUUUUAGAUUGGCACAGCUGAGCUACUUGGCCUUAAUUAACAAGUGUAGAAAGGCAGACAUAAUCACAUUUGCUAUAACAUAUUCGAAGAAAGUUGAGAUUUCAUCAUAAAAUUAAUUGGCAAUUGAGGAGUAGUCCAACCUCUUAUAAGCCCUUACAAAGUUUAUUCUUUCACUGACGUGAGACUCUUUUACUUUCACAUUCUCAUACAUCGUUUCACAUAUGGCGAAUUUUCAAGCCAAACACGUGGACAACACUUAUUGGGUAACGUGGAACAUGUGUGGCCGUUGGGCUUCACACGUGAGUCAACCUAACCUGAUACCAUGAAGAAAGUUAAGGUCCUACCAUAAAAUUAGUUGGCAAUAUAAGAAGUAAUCAAACCUCUUAUAAGCUUUUACAAGGUUUUAUCUUUCUUUCACCGAUGUGAGAGUCUUUUACUUUCAUAGCCUUAUAAUAUGUUUUUUCCUUAUGCAGUCGAGUUCGACAUUUCUUUUGUCGUAAUUUUUUAUUAGUCCAUUUCUUUUUUCAUAAUUUUGAUUAGUCCAAAUUAAAAAUUACUUAAAAAAUUAUGAAACAAAUUUAGGGUGAGAUGGAACUUCUCCAUGCAUACUCACACUCAGUGAACUCAUUAUUCAUUUCCUAUGAUCCUAUCAUUAUGUCGUGUUUACCAGUACAAUCUUUAUUAAUUUAACCUAUUUGCAAAAAGGAGGAAAUUAUGUGCUACGUAAAAUGAAACACACAAAUAUAGGAGAUGAUUUUCACGUACAUUUUUAAAUUUAUGAUUAUCAGACGAAAUAUAUGAAACAAAAAUAACUGACAUAAUUUAACAGGGAUUUGUAAGAAAAGGAAGGAGUGUACGCUUAUCAUUUUUUUUCCCACACAAUAUAUAUAAGGCCCUUUAUGCAAAUGGAUCUCCAUUUUUUGGAAAAAAUACGGAUUAGGUGUGGGGUCUACUCUACAUCGAACUUCAACAAUCCGAACUGUUGAUUUUGUAAGUCUCGAUUCAUAGAUCAUCCUUACACAAAUUCAAUUCAAUCCAAAACUAUUUGGCUAUU
rnacentral:lncRNA from 1 species